UACAGAGGUGGCAAGCGUUGUUCGGAAUUACUGGGCGUAAAGGGCGCGUAGGCGGCCCGUCAAGUCCCGUGUGAAAGCCCCCGGCUCAACCGGGGAACUGCACGGGAAACUAGCAGGCUUGAGUUCGGGAGAGGGAAGCGGAAUUUCGGGUGUAGCGGUGAAAUGCGUAGAUAUCGGAAGGAACACCUGUGGCGAAAGCGGCUCUCUGGACCACAACUGACGCUGAGGCGCGAAAGCUAGGGGAGCAAACAGG
rnacentral:rRNA from 1 species